rnacentral:tRNA from 1 species
GUUGUGACUCAGUGGUAAAGUACUUGCCUGGCAAACAUGAGGCACUGGUUUCAAUCCUCAGCACCACA